rnacentral:rRNA from 1 species
UCCUACGGGAGGCAGCAGUGAGGAAUAUUGGUCAAUGGGCAAGAGCCUGAACCAGCCAAGUCGCGUGAGGGAAGACGGUCCUAUGGAUUGUAAACCUCUUUUGCCGGGGAGCAAAAAGCGGUACGUGUACCGCAUCGAGAGUACCCGGAGAAAAAGCAUCGGCUAACUCCGUGCCAGCAGCCGCGGUAAUACGGAGGAUGCGAGCGUUAUCCGGAUUUAUUGGGUUUAAAGGGUGCGCAGGCGGCGAGUUAAGUCAGCGGUAAAAUUUCGGGGCUCAACCCCGCCAAGCCGUUGAAACUGGCUUG